CCAAUCUGCACCGCGCGCUCCGCACCCAAUCCCCCCUCUCCCCAGGCCCCAGCCCCCACCAGACAAACCCUAGCCUCACCAAGCCCCACAUCUCGCGCUCCUCCCUCCUCCGUCCUCGUUAGCCGCCGCCGUCGUUCUGCCUCCCUCCUCUCUCUCCUACAACCACGCCGCCAAGAGGAAGCCGUCAUUCGUGGCGCCAUGCCGCUGCCGGGGUGUUGCACACGCAUCGUUCCCCAUAGCCCCUCCCUCAUCCUCGCUCGUCACCACCGCUGCCUGCUACUCCCCUCCACCAUGGUUGGUGCUUCUGGGUUGAAUCUGGCGUUGGUGGGUCGGAACUCGAGAUAGAGGUCGAGACGGGGAAGGUCAGAAAAAUGAGAGACCGGAUGGAGGUGCUCGAGAUAGAGGAAGCUGGAGAUGGUGGGAUCCCUCUCCCCAUAUCUAUUCUCUUAGUUUUUCCUCUUCAAACCUUCAUUGAUGGUCUACCUCCCUCAACACAAUUAUCUUCAUUGUCCAUCCGGUGGUUGGAGCACGGGGCAACGCUCUGGUCGCGAUGGGGUUGAGCUGCGCAGGAGGGGGAGGAGGCUGGCGACAGGGAACCGGGCCAGGGAGGAGGCAAGCGGCAGUUGCGGAUGUGGUCGGUGGUUGAGGGAGGGUCUCCGACUAGAGCAGCAGGAGCAAGGAGCUCGAGGAAGUUCAGGUUUAUGGCUUCUCACGGAUUGUGAUUCUGGUCAUGCUACCUGUUAUGAAGGCUGAGGCGAGCAUCAUGGAGAUGAGCAGGCGAGUGGCUGAUACAGAGAGCUCCUCGAACAGGGAAGAGGCAUUGCUGGAGGAACUCGAAGAUGAGCUAGUCAAUUUUGGCAUGUCCAGUUCAUGUAACCUUUGCAUCUUUACAUGUCUUUGCCUUACUGCCAUUUUAUUUUUGCUGCUUUGGGAUUAGGUUCCGAAGUCAUGCCUUUGCCUUGCUAUUGUGCUGAUAUUGGAUGCAACAUUGUGGACCUUUGGUUCGAGCAUGCCAGCAUGGCCACGGAUUGUAGGGGAGGAAUGUAUUGCCUAAUGAGUUGUAUGCUUUCUUCGGAUCCUCUGUGCUUCCUAUCACAUCUAUCUUGGCCACCUACAAAUUCUUGGGUCCAGCAGGAAGUGUAACUCACAUUUUUAGAACACUGAUCCUUUAGGUAUAUAUAGUUUGGUUUUCUGAAAGUGGAUUGCAUUUGCUUCCUGAUCACAUUGAAACAAGAGUGGAAACAACCAUCGUCCGCCGUCCGUUAUUCCUCCCUUAGGUUCCUGAUCUGAAGCGGAGGGAACACGAGGUCACAUCCACAAAGUGGCGGAAGGGGGCUGCAACGUUUUUCUUCAGUCUGAUAAUCAUAUAGUAAUUAGACGGUGUAGUACUAUGGCGGUGGUAUACUGAUUUGGUGUAAGAAUCACUAACAUGACUUUACUUGUACAAAUCUUACAGGUUAAUGGUAUUAAGAAUUAGUAGCGUGUUUUUUUGUUUACUGCUGGAUUUGCUAACAAGUUGUCUCUUGUGUUGUUGUUGAUAUGUUGACUUGCUAUUUUUUGUUCAGUUGAAGGGUUCUCCAGGCUUAAGAUCUUUCUAGGAUAAUUGCGUCAUUGAAUCUGAAGAUAUUUGAUUGGUUUCUCAACCCAUGUAUCGAUAAGCAUUUUUUCAUCCUCAAUAUAUUGUUACUUACCUAACUUGUCGUACAUUUGUGAGGUUUCUAAGGAAGUUCACUUCUUGCACGCGGCGUAUAACUUGAGUUGCCUACAAAUGAUUUUGCCAGUUCGACGAAAACUUAAAAUAACCAAGGGAAAUUUCUCAGUUUUGUUGUUCUUGCUCUUCUUAGAUCUUAGGUUGGGGGUAUUAACAUAUAUGCCACACACUAAGUUUAGGUCUUAGUGUGAGAUUAAAUAGGGAUAAAUCCUUGUGCCAUGUUGAAGAAUUAGAAUUACAAAAAAGAAAGGAAAUAUUAAAGAAGGGAUAUGGUUGAUUAGGUUAUUUUGGUGUUUCUUUGUAAAUAAUGACAUGCUAACUUGCUGGUUUAAUUUAGGUGUGUGGAAUAUAGGAAAUACAAGGAGAGAUAUUCAGUUGCAAUCCAGCUUUAUUUUCAAAGUGAAACAUGGUAUACAUGCAUAGCAUGCUGGUCUUUUACUCUAUAGUUGUGUGUCGCCAUGGUGUCGACUUUGAACUUGCAAACUGAACUGUAAAAUGUUUUAAUGCCUUGGCGCAUGAAGUUUUCUUUGCCUGCUCUGACUACUUCAUUUAUGUUUAUUUAUCAGGUUAUGCAAUCUCCUGUGUUGCUGCAUGUUGAUCUUCUGUUUUGUUGUAACUCUGUUUUGCUGCUCGAGGACAAUUUCCUGGAUUAAUAUCUAUACUGGAGAUCUAGGAGUCCACCCAAAUUCAGUCUCCAAGAAGCCGUUCAUCCAGGAUCCACCAAAAUUCAAAUGAUAUGUGAAAAGUGUGUGCUAGAUGUGGCCCCUAUCCAGCGUUUUGAUUUGUCCACUCAGGUGCUUUUGUCUAGGUGGUAACACAACAAGUUGCUUAUCUUAUAGAAACUUAUUAUACAUACAGUCCUAUGUUCGUUCUGCUUGCAUGUUAGAGAAAGAGCUUCUGCCCCUAUGUGAGUAAUCCUAUGGGAAUUAGCAAUGUUGGUUGUACUUUCAAGCGGGCUGAAUCCAAUGCAAGUUUUUGGAGCAGUUGGGUUCCAGAACAAACGACUAGGUAUUCCCAAAGAGGUCAUUCCACUGGUGGCUAGCAUAAUACCUUCAUGUCGGGACAACGAUCCAAGCAAGCAACCAUCAUUCUACCAGCUCUUGUCAUCGUUGAAGAAAUUACAGUGGUUACAUUGUUACAGAAAGCCUAUGACAAUUUGCGAGUGUUGUUUGUGCAAUAUAUUGGUUUUAUGGGAGGUGCAUGUAUGAAUUCAGAUGGUAGUGGUCUCCUUGUUUACAGUUAUAAGAAUAAUAAAAAUAUUGAUAAUGGUCUUUCCACUAUUACAAUCUCAUAGAUUACAUUACCUGUUUCCAUUAGAAAGGAACCGUGGCUCAUGGGUUUACUGGAUGAUCUUUUUGAUGGACAUUUUAAAAAUAGCAUGGUUUAACACAUGUGAUUUUUAUUACGAGUAUCGAAUAUGUCCUUGCAAAAUGAAACUAUUUUCAUCGACAACAUGGCUUUAG
rnacentral:rRNA from 1 species